UACGGAGGGUGCAAGCGUUGUCCGGAAUCACUGGGCGUAAAGGGUGCGUAGGCGGCGUGGUAAGUCGGAUGUGAAAUCUCGGAGCUUAACUCCGAAACUGCAUUCGAUACUGCCGUGCUUGAGGACUGGAGAGGAGACUGGAAUUUACGGUGUAGCGGUGAAAUGCGUAGAUAUCGUAAGGAAGACCAGUGGCGAAGGCGGGUCUCUGGACAGUUCCUGACGCUGAGGCACGAAGGCCAGGGGAGCAAACGGG
rnacentral:rRNA from 1 species